CAUUAACUUCCAAUUCUCCAUCCUCAACUUAACUGGUGGCUACCGUCGCUGCUCGAGGGAAAAAGGGAAGAAGAAGAAAUCCUAAUUGGCAGAGAAAGAACGAAGGAUUGAAAGAGUCGCGGUGGCGGAAUUGAAUCUACAUGGCAGCCGCCCCUCUUUCUCUUAUCCCUCCCCCCUUUCUUCUCUUUCAAAACACGCUCAAUCCAAGGCCCAAUCUCCUAUUUCUCCCUCUUUCCAUAUCUCCGUUUCGCUCCCUCUCCCCAUCAACCCUAAAAAAUACGGCAGAACCCCUCUCCCGCCUUCUCUUCCUCUAAUCCCGACGCCUCUGCUUUCCACGAUGGGUUCGAUUCACAUCCCAGUCCAUCUAAGGAAUCUGUCCUUACCAAUCGCAUACAUAGAUAGAACCAUUGGACGUUAGCCUUAUCCAAAAAGAUGUCUCCCCUACAACUGUGGAUGCAUGAAAAGGACUAUUUCUGGCAUGUUGGGUUUACUCCCUUCUGAUAGGUUUCAAAGUCUUUAUCGAGGCUUUAUGGGAACCCCUCUCCAAAUUGUUGGUUUCUUCUAUGAUGACGGUUAUACAUUGAGGAAUGCUGAAUAUAGGCUUUGCCUUGAGCGGAACCUUGGUUGUGAAGGAGAUUUGGAAAAUCAAACUUUAGAAAAGUCGAACUUUGAUUUACAAGACAUGUUACUAGACAGUACAAAAUAAAUGAACUUUUUGAGAAAAUGGCUUGUCAUCUGAAUACGAAGAAACCAUAAAGAGCAAUUUGAAGAUAUAGACUUUCAAGGCUGGGUGAAAUGCCCUUGGAAGCUCGUAAAUACAUUCUUCAUUUGAAGUCUCGUCUAACUGCAGUGAAAAAGGUAUGCUACAGCAUAUUGAGGAGCCUCUCAUGGUUUGUUUUUCCUUUUAAACUAUGAACCGUUUACUUGAUGCACGGCCUGGAUAAAGUUAACUUUAUGCUCUGAACAAAUUUG